AAUGAACGUUGGCGGCGUGGAUUAGGCAUGCAAGUCGAGCGAGUAUCGUAGCAAUACGAGGACAGCGGCGAACAGGAGAGUAACGCGUGGACUACCUACCCCCAGGUCCGGGAUAAUGGCCGAAAGCCAGGUAAUACCGGAUGAUGUCGGAAGACCAAAGGUGUGAUUCCGCCUGGAGACGGGUCCGCGUCCUAUUAGCUUGUUGGUGGGGUAACGGCCUACCAAGGCGACGAUGGGUACUGGGUGUGAGAGCACGACCCAGCUCACUGGGACUGAGACACUGCACAGACAACUACGGGUGGCUGCAGUCGAGAAUCUUCGGCAAUGGACGCAAGUCUGACCGAGCGACGCCGCGUGCGGGAUGAAGGCCUUCGGGUUGUAAACCGCUGUCAGUUGGGAGGAAAUCUAAUGGGGUUCUCUCCAUUAGUUGACCUAGCUUCAGAGGAAGGACGGGCUAAGUUCGUGCCAGCCGCCGCGGUAAGAC
rnacentral:rRNA from 1 species